rnacentral:rRNA from 1 species
GCACCUGCGGCGUGCCUAAUACAUGCAAGUCGAGCGGACAGAUGGGAGCUUGCUCCCUGAUGUUAGCGGCGGACGGGUGAGUAACACGUGGGUAACCUGCCUGUAAGACUGGGAUAACUCCGGGAAACCGGGGCUAAUACCGGAUGCUUGAUUGAACCGCAUGGUUCAAUUAUAAAAGGUGGCUUUUACCUACCACUUACAGAUGGACCCGCGGCGCAUUACCUAUUUGGUGAGGUAACGGCUCACCAAGGCAACAAUCCGUACCCAACCUGAAAGGGUGAUCGGCCACACUGGGACUGAAACACGGCCCAAACUCCUACGGGAGGCACCAUUAGGGAAUCUUCCGCAUUGGACAAAAGUCUGACGGACCACCCCCCCGGGAGUGAUGAAGGUUUUCGAAUCGUAAAACUCUGUUGUUAGGGAAAAACAAUUCCCGUUCGAAUAGGGCGGUCCCUUGACGGUCCCUAACCAAAAAGCCACGGCUAACUACUUGCCACC